GGUGUCAGAAAGUUCAAUGUCAACACGGAGAUGCGGAAGGCAUACAUGGAAUGCUUGAGCGAACCCAAAAAAGAUCUUGUCAAUGUCAUGUCGUCCGCAAAGGAAGCUAUGAAGGCUGUCGUUGCAGAAAAGAUGCGCCUCUUUGGUUCAGCUGGAAAAGCAUGAUGACAAAAGCUGUUAUGUAAUUCUUCACCAGUUUCUCAAGGGAUUUGAAUAAGUGGUACUCACCUGGAGAUGUGAAGUAUAUUAAUUUCGAGAAUAAUGAGACAUCUCCAUUGUUUUCCACUAUAUACUUGGUGUCCCUGUGGCAUUUGUGAAAAGAUAUAUGGUCUCAUGUGUGAUGAGAUGGAUCAACCAAAAAUAUCAUCUGUCAAAAUUGCUCACAGAUAUCCUAAACAUUAAAGCAAUGACGAAGUGCACUUCUUUGGUUCAGCUGGAAGAGCAUGAUGACAAAAGCUGUUAUGUAAUUCUUCACCAGUUUCUCAAGGGAUUUGAAUAAGUGGUACUCACCUGGAGAUGUGAAGUAUAUUAAUUUCGAGAAUAAUGAGACAUCUCCAUUGUUUUCCACUAUAUACUUGGUGUCCCUGUGGCAUUUGUGAAAAGAUAUAUGGUCUCAUGUGUGAUGAGAUGGAUCAACCAAAAAUAUCAUCUGUCAAAAUUGCUCACAGAUAUCCUAAACAUUAAAGCAAUGACGAAGUGCACUUCUUUGGUUCAGCUGGAAGAGCAUGAUGACAAAAGCUGUUAUGUAAUUCUUCACCAGUUUCUCAAGGGAUUUGAAUAAGUGGUACUCCCCUGGAGAUGUGAAGUAUAUUAAUUUCGAGAAUAAUGAGACAUCUCCAUUGUUUUCCACUAUAUACUUGGUGUCCCUGUGGCAUUUGUGAAAAGAUAUAUGGUCUCAUGUGUGAUGAGAUGGAUCAACCAAAAAUAUCCUCUAUCAAAAUUGCUCACAGAUAUCCUAAGAUUAAAGCAUUGAUGAAGUGCACUUCUUUGGUUCAGCUGGAAAGCAUCAUGACAAAAGCCGUCAUGUUAUUCUCCACCAAUUUCUCAAGGAGUUGGAUAAGUGGUAUUGAC
rnacentral:lncRNA from 1 species